rnacentral:lncRNA from 1 species
GCAGGGAGCUCAAGCAACUCGAUAAACCAGGCAGCUAUAGCUGUCAAAUCAAGCGGACACUGCAGUGAGGGUGAGGGGAGAGUCUGGGAGCCUCUUCCACUGAAGGUGGCUGGUCGAGGUUCAUCGCCAACCGCAAGUGUGUGUUUCUGAAAAUUAUUGCACUUAUGUUGCAGCAUCUAUCAAACCUCUAAAACCCAUUUUAUGCUUUAAAAUACUAUUAUCUCGUGUGCCAAGACCAGUAACAUUGCACUAUAUGCAGAAGCUGUAAGAUGAAUAAAGAGCUUUUAAGCUUGUUUUAUUCUGUUGCUGAUAUUAUAUGCUGUAUAUACCCAGGGUUUCUGGGUAAUCUUCUUCAAACUUAGCUACUAUGUUGGAAUGUAAUAAAAGCAUUAUACAUGUGGAUUAAGCAUAAAUGAGAACUACCAAUGUGCUUUGGUUGGACGUUGGUGGAUGGCUUUGGGCUGUCUCCAAGCACCUAUUUAAAACUUCUGUCUGGCUGUUGGUUUGCGGGUGAUAUGUCGUACUCCUUUUCAAUUUAGUAUCCUGCAUAUGGAAUAACUUUGUCCAAAAUCUGCUCUUGAAGAUGCAAGUAGAAUUUGUCACAAGCAUAAUGCGUCCCUUAUAGCAUAAUUCUUUUGAGUCCCGAUUGUAAUGAGCCACGGAGCUUGGUGCUUCCUCCAAAUUUUUUAUUUUUUAUUUUUUUUUACUAGUCUCCGAAUCUUCCUGCCUCUGUGCUGGUUGAAUGAUAUUGUAGCAGGUAUGACUUAAGGUUGUUGGUGGGUCUUUUGUCUUCUAAUUUUCCCUUACCUUUCUUUUGAUAUUAGCUACCAUAGAAAUCUGUCUAUUUUUGAUAAAUAAUUAAAUGAUUAAGAAAUUAAAUUGGAAUCUAUCAAUCAUAUCUAUUGUAUGUUUGAAAAAGUGAGAAAUAAACUAAAACAAACCAAAGAAUAUUUUUAGAUUCCAACUUAAAAUUUGUUAGAUUUUAUGAACAUGAAUCUUAAUGUAAAUUUUCAUGAUAUUAUUUUAUAGAAUUUAUGCUUAAUAAACAAACAUAACUAAAACUAUGUGUCGCGGAAGGUGUAAAUUUAUUAGACGUCUAUUUGGUAUAUUCUUUCUACAUCGUCAAGUCAAUCCAACGACCAUUAUUAGUCUACCGGGAAAAGGUUGAAAAUUUACCUUCCCGCCGCCCCCUCGCGCCUUCACUUGGAUUUCUUCGGUUCAUCCCGCCAAGAGAGUGGCGCCAAUCAUUCCCGCCAUCUCCCCUUCCUGCCUAUAUAAGACGCUUAGGCUCUCCUUAUCUUGCAUCUCUCUCUCUCUCUCUCUCUCUCUCUCUUUGUAAAUGGUGGUGGCGUUGGGUCCGGGGAGGUUCUACGGGAGUAGCCUCCCGCGGCCUCGCUUCUACGCUGAUGUGAAGUUCAACGACGAGCGGGUGGACCCACCGGUGCCCGUCAUGGACCCCUUCCUCUCCUGGGCGAAGGAGGCGCACUGGUCCAUGGGCGGCCUCAAUUUCAACCGCCACCGCCUCCAGGGCCGCAUCGAGGGCUCCAUCAAGAAGCUCCGCGCACAGCAAGAGAAGAUGCAACGAGGAACGCCGGUGCUCUCCGUCAGACCCAAGUCGAUGAUUUCGAAGCCCAGAGUCGCCGGCCGGAAGCCUCUCCAUCUUGCGUCCCCCGAUUCGGUCUCGUCUGGUGGCGAUGAUGAUGAGGAGGUGGUAGCGUCGGAACAAGGGAAGAGUGAGUUUAAGGUUUCUUCCUCUCCAAGUAGAUCUGGUGAUGGCAAGAGGAAAAGGGUGAGGAGGCUCGGGGAGGAAUUCGAUAGGAUCGCGGCGGAGCAGCUGAAGGGGCCGAGGGAGGAUGCUGGUGGCGUGGCAUCAAGGACCCGGCGGCGGAGGUCAGUUACAGAGGAAGUCGAGGUUGAUGAAGGGGACGCUACUUCUGCUUCUCCUAACAGGAAACGCAGCAACCAGGCCGAGGGAAAGAAGAUGAAGGAGGUCGAUGGUGCGGUGCCGAGGAGGACUUCGCCUAGGAAGAAGCAAUCAAGUUGAUAACCAUGUUCGUCGAUCACAUGCAUGUGCCCUUGGUGGUGCCACCAACUGUCGUCCUUAGGUUGUAUGCAACAUGUUUGUGAUAUUGACUGUGAUGAGGAACAAAAGAAAAGUUUGCCAUUGUGCAGUUCUGGCUUUUCAGUGUAGUUCUUUGUGGCAUAAAAAUAUGUGUUAACAUAAUAUUUAUGAUUUCGUCUAAAUAGUUUUAAUAAUUUUUAAUGAUUAUAAUUUGUUUUAUGUAAAAUAAUCAUAAUGAUCAUUUGAAAAGAUAAUUAAUCUAUUAACAUGAAGGGUGUGAAGCAAUAAAUAAAUAACUUGCUUACCUGCCUGUAGGCCCUGCGAAGGAACGAGGUCGAAAGGCAAUGCCCAACCCAUGAGCUUCGUAGUAGUUGGCGCAGCACGCAGGUGUGAUGUCUCCCUAUAAUCAAUCCUUGCCUGCACACAUCCUCCGCCAUCAGCCAAGCAAGAAGGCUUACGGUACCCAAAGGAACGAUCUUUCGUCCAUGACGACUCACCUUCUCCCCAUCACUCUGCUCUCCCUGCUCGCCGCGGCCUCGUCCCACCACCCGAUUGCAGCUUCGCCGCACGGCAGGGACGUCGUAGUGGCGGUCCGGGAGAUGCAGCGCGCCAGCUACUUCUCCUUCGCCAUGCUCAUCCAGAUGG